rnacentral:rRNA from 1 species
GUAGGUGGCAAGCGUUGUCCGGAAUUAUUGGGCGUAAAGCGCGCGCAGGCGGUCCUUUAAGUCUGAUGUGAAAGCCCACGGCUCAACCGUGAGGGUCAUUGGAAACUGGGGACUUGGAGUACAGAAGAGGAAAGCGGAAUUCCAAGUGUAGCGGUGAAAUGCGUAGAGAUUUGGAGGAACACCAGUGGCGAAGGCGGCUUUCUGGUCUGUAACUGACGCUGAGGCGCGAAAGCGUGGGGAGCAAACAGGAUUAGAUACCCUGGUAGUCCACGCCGUAAACGAUGAGUGCUAAGUGUUAGGGGGUUUCCCGCCCCCCUUAGUGCUGCAGCUAACGCAUUAAGCACUCCGCCUGGGGGAGUAGGCCCGCAAGGCUG